rnacentral:rRNA from 1 species
UACGUAGGGGGCAAGCGUUGUCCGGAUUUAUUGGGCGUAAAGAGCGUGUAGGCGGCCUUGCAGGUCAGCUGUGAAAACUCGAGGCUCAACCUCGAGACGUCGGUUGAAACCGUAUGGCUAGAGUCCGGAAGAGGAGAGUGGAAUUCCCGGUGUAGCGGUGAAAUGCGCAGAUAUCGGGAAGAACACCUAUGGCGAAGGCAGCUCUCUGGGACGGUACUGACGCUGAGACGCGAAAGCGUGGGGAGCGAACAGG